rnacentral:rRNA from 1 species
CUGCAGUCGACGGUAACAGAAGCACUUGCUGCUUCGCUGACGAGUGGCGGACGGGUGAGUAAUGUCUGGGAAACUGCCUGAUGGAGGGGGAUAACUACUGGAAACGGUAGCUAAUACCGCAUAACGUCGCAAGACCAAAGAGGGGGACCUUCGGGCCUCUUGCCAUCGGAUGUGCCCAGAUGGGAUUAGCUAGUAGGUGGGGUAACGGCUCACCUAGGCGACGAUCCCUAGCUGGUCUGAGAGGAUGACCAGCCACACUGGAACUGAGACACGGUCCAGACUCCUACGGGAGGCGGCAGUGGGGAAUAUUGCACAAUGGGCGCAAGCCUGAUGCAGCCAUGCCGCGUGUAUGAAGAAGGCCUUCGGGUUGUAAAGUACUUUCAGCGGGGAGGAAGGCGAUAAGGUUAAUAACCUUGUCGAUUGACGUUACCCGCAGAAGAAGCACCGGCUAACUCCGUGCCAGCAGCCGCGGUAAUACGGAGGGUGCAAGCGUUAAUCGGAAUUACUGGGCGUAAAGCGCACGCAGGCGGUCUGUCAAGUCGGAUGUGAAAUCCCCGGGCUCAACCUGGGAACUGCAUUCGAAACUGGCAGGCUAGAGUCUUGUAGAGGGGGGUGGAAUUCCAGGUGUAGCGGUGAAAUGCGUAGAGAUCUGGAGGAAUACCGGUGGCGAAGGCGGCCCCCUGGACAAAGACUGACGCUCAGGUGCGAAAGCGUGGGGGAGCAAACAGGAUUAGAUACCCCUGGGUAGUCCACGCCGUAAACGAUGUCGACUUUGGAGGUUUGUGCCCUUGAGGCGUGGCUUCCCGGAGCU